CCUACGGGUGGCAGCAGUGAGGAAUAUUGGUCAAUGGACGAAAGCCUGAACCAGCCAAGUCGCGUGAGGGAUGAAUGAUCUAUGGGUUGUAAACCUCUUUUAUAAAGGAAUAAAACGCGGCACGUGUGCCGUUUUGUAUGUACUUUAUGAAUAAGGCUCGACUAACUCCGUGCCAGCAGCCGCGGUAAUACGGAGGAUGCGAGCGUUAUCCGGAUUUACUGGGUUUAAAGGGUGCGUAGGUGGGUUGUUAAGUCAGUUGGGAAAGGUUGCGGCUAAACCGUAAAAUUGCAAUUGAUACUGGGCGUCUUGAGUACAGUUGAGGUAGGCGGAAUUCGUGGUGUAGCGGUGAAAUGCUUAGAUAUCACGAAGAACCCCGAUUGCGAAGGCAGCUUACUAAACUGUGACUGACGUUGAUGCUCGAAAGCGUGGGGAUCAAACAGGAUUAGAUACCCCAGUAGUC
rnacentral:rRNA from 1 species